AAGAUCUAGCCAAGACCUAGAGUAUAAUCUAGAUUACUCUAGAUUUAGAACUCAUCUCCACGAGUUUUCAAGCGAUGAUCUAGAAAUAAAUAACGAGGAUACAGAUACAUAAGUCUAAGUCAUGAUAAGUGUCAUAAGCUGCAUGGUGGAUUUAUUUAAUUUCUGAUGGUCCUGAAUGUGAUUUCACUUGGCAGUAAAGAGUACUGACAAUGUUAAUCUGUAUCUGACAGUAGUUAGAGAGUUACAUAGCUGGUUAUUUUUGUGAAGUGCUAAGUCCCCAAGGAAGCUACAGCAGAUUGUCAGGCAUAGCAAGUUCUUACUGUCUGUGCAUAUGAGAACUAAUUCCAGAAAAUGUUGCUCCGAACACAUCUUCAUCUUCAAAACCAAAGCUUCUCAGAGAACUU